UUCUUUUUGUGGUACCCUACUCCAGAGAAUGGCAAUCAUGUAUAACUAAAUGUGAUUGACACCUCUGUGAGUGGAAUAAUGCAUGACUU
ensembl:miRNA